AGAUCUGAAGAUGACAAACCCACUAGGCCUAUGGUGGGUGGUGUGGAGGGUGAUACCAUCACACUGUCCUGCAGAUACACUGGCUCUGUAAACAAUCUACAGUGGUAUCAUUAGUAUCCCAGGUCUAAACCAGUAUUCCUGAUUCUCAUCACGAAAUCAGGACAUGUCCAGAAACUGGUCAAUCCUCGCCUUCCAGCUCAGGUUCAUACAGACCGUGUGGAAAAACAAACAAAGACAAAAGCAAAAACUAGACAUUUUCAGAUAGGAAUUAAGUCUAAAAUAAACUGAGGAGGAGACCAAUAGGAACUGAAAAACCUUAACCACAAACCAUAGAAGAAGAGAUACAUAUCCAGAUAUCAGAGGAGGGGCCUCAUAGUUAAACACUGAUAUAGGCUGGGUGUACCUGCAACCAUGAGGAUGUCUCAGUAGAGGAUCUACUCAGCUCUCUCACUGUCUUAUCUCUCAGUUAGUUUAUCUAGUCUGUGUCAGGAUGUCACUCAUAUUACUGUUGCUCCUCUCAGCGUUUGUAGGUGAUAGUAUGGAGCAGGAAACAAUAUCUCCAGUGAAGCCUGAAGUCAAUGCUCUCCAAGGAACAGACAUCACUCUCUCCUGCAACUACAAGGGCAACAUUAUCAAUCUACAAUGGUACCGUCAAUCCCCCGGAUCCAGACCAGAAUGUCUUCUUUUGAUCCGACAAAGCGGCAUGUAUAUUCAGAAUACAUCAAUUACGACUCCACGACACACUGGUAGACUGAAUGAAGAGAAGACCCGUGUUGACUUGAUGAUCUCCUCUGUUGAAUUGGAAGACUCUGCUCUGUACCACUGUGCCUUGCAGCCCACAGUGACAGGAAACCCAGACACACUGUACAAAAACCUGUCAAGACACUUGGAGGUGAACAGUGCAUUGUGUUCUGAUCAAUCAGUUACUAUUUAGAGUACAUUAAUACAUACAUUUUUUUCCUGAAUAUCCACAUUAAUUGAAAGAGAAGCAAGAAAACACAUUUCAUGUAAAUAUUAUUGAGGAGAUAAUACUUUAUAUUGUCUGCAUUUUCCUAUUCUGAUAUAACAUGAUCAAAGAUACCAGUCUGAAUAAAUACAGAAUGAAGAACA